UCAGGCUCUGCUUUGCCAGAACAAGAGUCAGCUGGAGAGGAGCAGGCUUGGUUCAUGCUGAAUUUGUCUCUGGAAGGAACCAAGCAUGACUGUUCUCUGAGAGGACCAACAAGCAGUUGACUGAGACAGAAGUAGAUACUUACACCCAACUACUGGACAGAAGUCGGGGAUCUCUAUGGUUGAAUUAAGGGAUGGAUUGAAGAAGCAGAUGAGAAGGGUGAUUCCAUAGGAAGACCAGCUGUCUCAACUCACACAGACCCCUGGGAGCUCCCAGGGACUGAGCCACCAACCAGACAUCAUACAUGCGCUGAUCCAAGGCCCCCAACACAUAUACAGCAGAGGACUGCCUGUAGAAGAUGCUCCAGUCCUGGAGAGACUUGAGGCCCCAGAGAGGGCGGAGUCCUGGUGGUUGGAGAGCAUCCUCUCGGGGACAGGGGGAAUGAGGUGAGGAAUUGUGGGAGGAGGGUUGGCGGGGCAAUGGCUGAAUUGUAAAUAAAUAAAUUUAAAGUUUAAAAAAAAUCAAAAACCACAACAAAAAAAAUCUCCCUCAUGUAACCCAGACUAGUCUUGAACUUGUGGUCCUUCUGUCCUUGCCCUCCAAAUGCUGAGUUACAGGUGCACACCAGUGUGCCUUGCUGUCACCAUAUUUAUACGGCCAUUUAUAUCUGCCAAGACAAAAUAGCCACAACUUGCUAACCCUGGCUAAUGAGCAUACUGUUGUUUGUUGUAACAUUCUUUGUGUUUACUGAAGUUUGAAUAUUUUCCAAGACACGUAAAAGCAUUACUGUAAGUGCUCUUAACAAUGGUGAGUAGGAAGAGGGCCAUUAAAAGACCAUUCAAAACA